UACGUAGGAGGCGAGCGUUGUCCGGAAUUACUGGGUGUAAAGCGCGUGUAGGCGGUGAGUUAAGUCUGUUGUGAAAGCGCCCGGCUCAACCGGGCAGAGUCAAUGGAAACUAGCGCACUGGAGGUCGGUAGAGGCGAGUGGAAUUCCCGGUGUAGUGGUGAAAUGCGUAGAGAUCGGGAGGAACACCAGUGGCGAAGGCAAUCCCCUGGGCCUGCACUGACGCUCAUGCACGAAAGCGUGGGGAGCAAACAGG
rnacentral:rRNA from 1 species